AGUAGGGCCUGCCCACUGAGUUUUUGAAGGGCCGCAGUAUCUUAACUGUGCAAAGGUAGCAUAAUCAUUAGUUUUUUAAUUGAAAGCUGGAAUGAAUGGUUUGAUGAAAAAAUAGCUGUUUCAAUUUUAAUUUUUUAAAAUUUUAUUUUUAAGUAAAAAAGCUUAAAUGAUAAUAAAAGACGAGAAGACCCUAUAGAGUUUAAUUUAUUUUAUAAUAUUAUUAUUAAGUUUUUAAUUAUUAGUAUUAUAAAAUAAAUUUGAUUGGGGUGAUUGAAAAAUUAAAAUAACUUUUUUUAUAUUUUUACAUUUAUUUAUGAAUUUAUGAUCCAUAAAAAUGAUUAAAAGAUU
rnacentral:rRNA from 1 species